UACGUAGGGCGCAAGCGUUAUUCGGAUUUACUGGGCGUAAAGGGUGUGUAGGCGGCAAAUCAAGUCUAUUGUUAAAGAUCUCGGCCUAACCGGGAAAGUGCGAUGGAAACUGAUUUGAUAGAGAUUGGAAGAGAGAAGUGGAAUUCUCGGAGUAGCGGUAAAAUGCGUAGAUAUCGAGAGGAACACCGAUGGCGAAGGCAGCUUCUUGGUCCACAUCUGACGCUGAUACACGAAAGCGUGGGGAGCGAACAGG
rnacentral:rRNA from 1 species